rnacentral:rRNA from 1 species
ACGGUCCUAAGGUAGCGAAAUUCCUUGUCGGGUAAGUUCCGACCCGCACGAAAGGUGUAACGAUUUGGGCACUGUCUCAACGAGGGACCCGGUGAAAUUGAAGUACCUGUGAAGAUGCAGGUUACCCGCGACUGGACAGAAAGACCCCAUGGAGCUUUACUGUAACCUGACAUUGGGUUCUGAUACAUCACGUACAGGAUAGGUGGGAGGCAUGGAAGCGAGGACGCUAGUCUUCGUGGAGCCGCCGUUGGGAUACCACCCUUGAUGUAUCGGAAUUCUAACCGUAGGAGUAACGAAACUCGGGACAGUGUCAGGCGGGCAGUUUGACUGGGGCGGUCGCCUCCCAAAGAGUAACGGAGGCGCCCAAAGGUUCCCUCAGCGCGGCCGGAAAUCGCGCGAAGAGUGUAAAGGCAGAAGGGAGCUUGACUGAGAGCCAAACACGGCGAUCAGGUACGAAAGUAGGGCUUAGUGAUCCGGUGGCAUCCAAGUGGAAGGGCCAUCGCUCAACGGAUAAAAGCUACCCUGGGGAUAACAGGCUAAUCUCUCCCAAGAGUCCAUAUCGACGGGGAGGUUUGGCACCUCGAUGUCGGCUCAUCACAUCCUGGGGCUGAAGUAGGUCCCAAGGGUUGGGCUGUUCGCCCAUUAAAGUGGUACGCGAGCUGGGUUCAGAACGUCGUGAGACAGUUCGGUCCCUAUCCAUCGCGGGCGCAAGAGAUUUGAAGGGGGCUGCUCCUAGUACGAGAGGACCGGAGUGGACGAACCAAUGGUGUACCAAUUAUCUCGCCAGAGGUAUAGUUGGGUAGCUACGUUCGGAAAGGAUAAACGCUGAAAGCAUCUAAGCGUGAAACCAGCCUUAAGAUGAGAUCUCUCAUAGAGUAAUCUAGUAAGACACCUUGGAGAAGACGAGGUUGAUAGGUCGGGAGUGUAAGUACAGUAAUGUAUUCAGCGGACCGAUACUAAUAUGUCGAGGGCUUGACUUA